rnacentral:rRNA from 1 species
GACGAACGCUGGCGGCGUGCUUAACACAUGCAAGUCGAACGGAAAGGCCUGCUUUCCCUUGUGGAUUGCGGGUACUCGAGUGGCGAACGGGUGAGUAACACGUGAGUGAUCUGCCCCCAACUUGGGUAUAAGCCUGGGAAACUGGGUCUAAUUCCCGAUAGGACUGCAGGGUGGUGCCUGUGGUGGAACACGAUUUUCUAGUGGUUGGGGAUGAGCUCGCGGCCUGUCAGCUUGUUGGUGGGGUAAUGGCCUACCAGGGCGGCGACGGGUAGCCGGCGUGAGGAGGUGGACGGCGACAGAGAGACUGAGAUACGGCCCAGAGACCGACGGAAGGCAGCAGGUGGGAAGAGAGGAAAAAGGGGGGAAGACUGGUGCAGCGACGCCGCGUGGGUGAUGACGGCCUUCGGGUUGUAAACACCUUUCGACGGGGAGGAAGCCACCUGGUUGGAAGGGUGGUGACGGUAGUGGGAGAAGAAGCACCGGCUAACUACGUG